rnacentral:tRNA from 1 species
GCGGAAGUGUCGGAACUCGCAGACGAGCAAGACUAAGGAUCUUGUAAGCAUUGCGCUUGUGUGGGUUCAAGUCCCAUCUUCCGCA